ensembl:snRNA U6 U6 spliceosomal RNA
GUGCUCACUUUGGCAGCAUGUAUACUAAAAAUGGAACUUUACAGGGAAGAUUAGUGUGAUCCUUGUGCAAAGAUGGUACAAAUUUAUGAAGCAUUAUAUAUAUCU